rnacentral:rRNA from 1 species
AUGCAGAAGGCAUUCAAUUUUCAGUGCUUUGCUUCCGGCGGGGGUGGAUUUGGGACUGAUUUUACAAAUAAGAAAAGAAUUAAAAGCAGGAAGAGGGCAAAGGAUGUUGUACAGGACCCAAGCAAGGUAGCAUCUGCAGACUCAAAGAACCAGGGACAGUGGGCACCAGAGUUAGGAAUUGGAAGAGAAAACAAAUCUGGUAAAACGGUCAUGGAUAAGAAAUUUCUGGAAAAAGUUGAAGCUGUUCGAAGGUCUGCACUUGAUAAAAAGAAAGUUGAAGAGAACAAAACUUAUCAAGCUAUUGAUUAUGAUGCUCCAAUCGAAUCAGAUAAGAGUACACUUGGCCUUGGUACAAGGGUUGGAAUUGGCAUAGCUGUUGUGGUUUUUGGACUAGUCUUCACUUUUGGGGAUUUCCUCCCUUCUGGAAGUGUUAGCCCUAGCAAUGAAAGCACUGUGGUUAACAAACAGCUUNNNNNNNNNNNNNNNNNNNNNNNNNNNNNNAGGGCACUUGAAGGAUACGAAGAAACACUGGCCAAGUCACCUAACGAUCCUACCGCUCUUGAGGGUGCAGCAGUAUCGUUGGUUGAACUAGGUGAAUAUCAGAAGGCUUCAGAUCUACUUGAGAAGCUAGUUAAGGUAAUCCCCGAGAAAGCAGAAGCAUACCGCUUGUUAGGUGAAGUAAAGUUUGAGCUCAAGGAUUAUGAUGGGAGUUCUUCAUCAUACAGGAACUCUCUAUCUUCAUCUGACAGCAUUGAUUUUGACGUUCUCCGUGGGCUGACAAAUUCAUUAGUUGCUGCUAAGAAGCCUGAUCAGGCAGUCGAAGUAAUUCUGUCUUGCCGUCGCAAGUUGAGUGAAAAGCGUCAAACCAGGCAACCUGAUUUGGAGGCUGCAAAUGAGAAUGGUGGUCAGGAGUUUCGAGAUAUUGAUCCUAUCCAAGUUGACCUGCUUCUUGGAAAGGCCUAUUCUGAUUGGGGCCAUAUCAGUGAUGCUGUUACUGUUUAUGAUAACUUAAUCACUGAACAUCCUGAAGACUUCCGUGGUUAUUUGGCGAAGGGAGCUAUACUGAAGCAAAAUGGCAAGGCAGGUGAUGCAGAAAGAAUGUUUAUUCAGGCCAAAUUCUUCGCCCCAGAGGCAGCAAAGGCACUUGUUGAUAUUUAUGCACAGAGAUAG